GGGAAUGGGAGCGAUGGUCCCUACCAGUAAGUAAGAGCUUCCCCUGAGAUGACCAGGCAGGCCCAAGAGCCAAGGCAACCUGCAGACAGGCCUGGAAAGUGAGGUUCAGGCCAGGCAGGACUCUGGCUGGAGGGCUUGGUUCUGCUUGAUUCUCCUGGAGCAGUUGCCUGACUUUCUCCUACACCAGACAAGACCGCACCAUGAAGCAAGAAAGGACAGUACUAAGCCAACGUCUUUAUAGCAGAUAAGUUGAAGGACAGAAACCUGUCUUCUUCUAGGAUAACUUUUCUUUCUGAUUAUAAAUGGAGUAUGUUGAUUGAAGAAAUUUUGGAAAAUACAGAACAGUACACAAAUAACAGUGGCUCUCACGUUUCUUAGGGUUGGGUAGGACU